UACGGAGGGUGCAAGCAUUAAUCGGAUUUAUUGGGCGUAAAGAGGGCGUAGGCGGAGAUGUAAGUCAGAUGUGAAAGCCCGGGGCUCAACCCCGGAACGGCAUUUGAAACUGCAUGUCUAGAGGAUAGGCGGAGAAAACGGAAUUCCACAUGUAGCGGUGAAAUGCGUAGAUAUGUGGAAGAACACCGGUGGCGAAGGCGGUUUUCUAGCUUAGACCUGACGCUGAGGCCCGAAAGCAAGGGGAGCAAACAGG
rnacentral:rRNA from 1 species